CGCCAUCUGGCGGCGCUGCGCGGAGCUCCACACCAUGAACGCGUUCAUGGGUCGCUUCACCUUCUCCAAGGGAAGCCCCCCGGACACCACCGGGCUGCCGGCGCCUUCCCGCUCCUGGCAGCCCGAGGACGAGUUGGUGAGAAAACUUCAAUCCUCCCAACUCCAGCCCCCAAACCGUGGUUUCUCCACCGCCUGUUGUAUCUCCAAACCGGAGUCUGAAGGCAGGGAGCCAGGGACCCCAAGACAACCCACCCCCAGGACUGAGCAGUCAGCAGCGUGGAUGCCAGAGAAGAAGCCUGCAUCCAGAGCAGAGAACCAGCAGGAGCGAGAGCUGGCCACCUAAGUCGCAGAGGCUGUCGUGAGGGAACCCUGCUCCCCAUCCCGCCCCAGGCCCAGCCCAAGCCCCAGGCCUCAGGUAAUCGGAUUAAACAGCCGGCCCUGGCUCUCAGCAGAAACGGGCUGGAGCCCGAGCGCCGCGGAGCAGCCCUACCUAGCCUGCUGUGACUCAGGGUAAAGGAGUGGCCCAGCUCUCCUACCAGCAGCCCGGGGGGAGGGGAGAAGCCAGAAGCCACAGGCCACGGUCCUCUGGACUUGAAAGCGACCAGGGCCUGGAGAACCUAGGAAUGUCAGGAAUUCCCAGAAGUAGACAAUCUUUGGAACCCUAGAGAAGCCAGGUGUGGAGAAAACGGAAAUGAGGGCCCGGGCAAGUCAAGCCUAGAGAAACCGAUGUGCCAAACUUGGCCCAAGGAAGGCGCGAGAACCACAGAGCCAUUUGGAUUUUUUUAUUCUCUUUUUAAAUACUGUACAGUGAAAAAUAAAUACGCCUUCUCAUCCACCAGACAAGGUUGGUCCCCCCUCCCCUGGGGGACCUUGUCACCCCCCUUCAUACACACCCCUGGUUCUACUCCAAAACCUUCCCCAUGCCUCCCACCCACUUAUACCCUUACUAUCCCCGUCUUCCACAGUGAUGAGGCCCCAGAAAUGGGGGGUACAGGAUGGGAGGAGGGAUAGCAGGGGAGCCCCCCUGAACUGUCAAAUCUGGGUGGAUCAAGGAGCACCCCGCACCAGCAGGCGGAGAAUGGGGGUGUUCAGAGAGAUCGGGGCAUUGGAGGAUAAAGGCACAUCCAGUCUGAUGGGGAAGGAGAGAGGCUCCCC